GUUGAAUGAAAUUCAAGAGUGAAUGAAGGCAAGAUUUGCGAAUGAAAGACCAUUAGUUUAAAAAUAUGAAAAUGUUACAAGAAGUACAAGUGCAACUGUUGUUCAUUUCUUUUUUACUGCCAUGCUGAACUGGGGUUUGGAAGUGCAGCUGCUUCAUCAGGAGACCAUCUCAAGAGCUGUGGAUCUUCAGUCUGUGGAACCUCUUUAGUUUUCACCACUGCAAGUAGAAGAAAAAGAAGUUAUAAUGCCCAAUCUGCCAGUGCAAAGUGAAACUGAAAUGAUAAUGCCCGAGGAGAAAAGGGAGUUGGAAAAGGAACAUCUUACGAAACAGAAAUAUCUUACAAAACAGAAGAAAGGACUUACUGUCAAGAUAACAUAUGUAGCACCUGAGCCGCAAGCUGCUGAGAGAACCCUGACUGCUGAAGCUGAGAAACUGAAGAAACAUAGAGGUCAAAAAAGACAAACCACAGAAAGGUAGUGACCAAAACUUUUAAGAUGUGCUUUGAAGACAUUUAAGAAGCCUCUGUGUUGAUUUAACUUCUUCUCUUCACACUUUUUCAUCUCUCUUGUUUCAUAUGUCACCAUUUUCUGUCACUACACUUUCUCUAUCCCAGAAUCACAGUGCUUUCUUCUGGUUUUCAUGUGAUCACAGUUCUCCUUUAUGCAUAC